CAGAGGAGCCGCUGUGCCCUCUGUGCCUACUCGCAGUGGACUGGUCACUUCGGGGACGCCCAGGUGAUCCUCCAUCUGCUCUACGCUUCCAGGAAGCCUCUACUGCCCGGGUUAAUUCUUUUUCUCCCUUUUCUGUCCCUUCCUCCACUCUUUAACCACUGGUGCCUCCUCGCCUAUACCGGAAGCCUCACCACUCAAGUGUCUCCUUAAGAAUUUGGCUACUCUCUCUCUCCCCCCGGACCUCAAGCCCCAAAUUCUUAUCAGAUUCUGUACCCAAGAUUGGCCCACAUAUCAGCUAGAUAAUGACAAUCAUUGGCCUCCAGAAGGCUCCUUAGAUCCAAAUUUCCUCCGGGACCUUUUAACUAUUGCCAGCGCCUGAAAGGGUAGAAAGAGUUCCCAGGCCCCCUCCCCGUCCUGCCUUCUGCUCUCUGUUCCCAACCUUCCCCUCUGCGCACUACCUGCGCACUCCCCCCUCCUCUUCCUCCACGUCCCCUCCCUCUCCCUGUUGCAGCCGCCCCUGUGGCCCUGCCUGUGCACUUCCCCUCCUCUUCUGCGGAGACAUCCCCCUCCCCUCCCUUUUCUUCCUGGCCGCCGCCACCACCGCCGCCACCGCCCAUGGCUCUGUCUGCGCGCUUCUAGUCUGCCUGGCCACCAGACACGUGCGCGGCGAGCGAAAUGGGCCGGUAGUGUGCCCUCGUCGGCUUGGAGAGGCCUCGGGAUCCCAUCUCAGCCGGCGGGUGAGCCGCUAUCCUUCACCUUCCUUGCGCCACAGCAGCUUUUGCACGAGCCCCCGACUUGCGCGCCCCUCACUUUGCCGCCUGGUUCCAACGGGCAGGCAGGAUGGGUCCCACCUGGCUGCAAUGGGUGGGAUCUCCGGAUCCCUCUGAGCCUCUCCUCCUCCCCCAACUCUGCUCACCUCUUCUACUGAUAAGCCCUUCCCCUCCCCCUACUCACGCCUCUCUUCUCCUGUCAGUGCUUCACUGAUCCCACUUAUCAGAUAACUCACAGUUCCUUUGUUCUGUCAGGGAAGUAGCUGGUGCUGAAGGCAUAGUCCAAGUGCACAUCCCAUAACUGAACCUAACUGGGACUGCGUACAAGCAGUUUCUAAUAAGGCAGUUAACUUUGAUAAACUGAAGGACAUUACCCAGAACCCUGAUGAAAAUCCAUCCUUAUUUCUCAACUGCCUUACAGAGGCCCUAACCAAAUACAUUAAGCUAGAUCUUGAGUCUCCCAUCAGGGCUACAGUGUUAGCAACCCAUUUCAUUACUCAAUCGGCUCAUGAUAUUAGAAAAAGCUCAAAUGAGCUGAGGAGGACUAUUGGACUCCUAUCUAAGAUCUGGUGAAAAUGGCUUUUAAAGCAGGCUCCAUUGCAGAAAAGAAGGUAACACCCCAAACUCAGGCCUUGACAGCAGCCCUGAGGCCUACAUCUCCAGCAAAAGUUUCAGAGGGGAACCAGCAUUCUUCUCCACCAGAGGCUUGCCUCAAAUAUGGAUGCGAAGAUUACUGGGCUCGCCAAUGCCCAAACCCACGGCCUCCUUCCAGGCCAUGCCCCACCUGUAAGCAGACAGGAUAUUGGAAGAUUGAUUGCCUCUGGCUGGCCCUUCCUUGGUGCCUCUACGCAGGGGGUAUGACCAGUCAGGCAGUCCCCUCUCCUGAACUUUCGGGGUUUGCAGAAGACUGAAGAAGCCCAGAUUCAAAGACCCCCCCAGCCCUCUCUGAGCCCAGGGUAAUGCUCCAGGCAGCGGGUAAGUCCAUAACCUUCCUUGUGGACACGGGGGCUACCUAUUCUGUCUUGUCUGCCCAUUCUAGGCCUCUGUCUUCUUCCCAGGUCUCAGUUAUGGGGAUUGAUAACAAACCCUUCUCCCCAAACAGAACUGUAAAGCUGGCCUGUGCCCUGGAGGGACACCCAUUCACUCACUAUUCUGAUCAUUCCAUCCUGUCAGUUCCUCUCCUAGGCAGAGAUGUUCUCCAAUUAUUAGGAGCUACCCUCCAGUUAUACCCCAAGAAUACUACCACCCAUCUCCUUUGUCCUUUAACUCUUACCCUCUCUAAUGACCUGACAAUACCUACUGUGCCAUUGCCCCCUGAUCCCUAGGUCUGAGACAUUUCCAUGCUGGCUAUUGCCUCCCACCACAAGCCAGUCCAUACCCAGCUGAAACACCAAAUUAAACUUCCUUGUGUUCCCAAUUUCCUAUCUCCAAAACCCAUAGGGAGGGAUUUAAGCCCAUUAUACACUGGUUGCUGGCCCAGGGACUCCCAAUCCUUACUGACUCCCCCUGUAAUACUCCUAUAUUUCUGGUGCGCAAACCCUCCAGAGCCUAUCGCUUAGUCCAGGAACUCCACCUAAUUAAUGAGGCAGUUAUUCCCAUCCACUCGGUUUCCAACCUUCAUACUUUUCUUUCUCAUAUCCCCCUUUGACCAUUCACUUCACUGUCCUGGAUCUUAAAGCUGAUUUCUUUACAGUGCCUCUGCAUCCUGACUCUUAUUACCUCUUUGCCUUCACAUGGGAAGACCUUACAUUCUUUAGGUUUCAACAGCUGACAUGGACAGGCCUACUCCAAGGCUUCAGGGACAGUCCCUACCACUUUGGUCAGGCCUUGACACAGGAUUUAACUGUUUGUAAUUUGGGGAUAGCACUCUCUUACAGUUGGAUAGAAGCCUUCCCUACCUCCAGGAAAACUGCUGACACCAUUGGAAACUGCUGACACUGUCACCUCCAUCCUCGUUGAGCAGAUCAUUCCUAGGUUCGAACUUCCUGCCUCCAUCCAGUCAGACAACAGUCCAGCCUUCAUUUCUCAGAUUGUUUAACUAGUUUCCAAAGGCCUUAACAGCAGUUGGAGGCCCCACAUCCCACACUGACCCCAAUCCUCGGGUAAGGUUGAGAGGCCUAAUGGCAUUCUCAAGGAUCAUCUCACUAAACUUGCUAUUGAACGCAGACUGUCCUGGCCCAAUCUUUUGCCAUUGGCCCUCACCCAAAUUCGGGCAACUCCUAGAGCCCCCUCAGGCCUUAGCCCCUUUGAGCUGUUCUAUGGAUGCCUUUCUUAACCAACUAAAACUUUCCUGUCACUCCUCCCCCCCUUGUGUCCCACCUGCCCUAUCUCAUGCUUCUAUACAAACUCCUAAGAGAACACGCACACUGGUGUCUUCCUGCACCAUCUGUUACUUCUGUUCCAGCACAAUCAGGAAUUAAAUAGGACCCUCUUCAACCGGGUGAUGCAGUUUUACUUCGAGAGCUACAUUCUCAGUCGUUGAAACCUCACUGGACAGGACCCCAUACAGUCAUAUUUCUGCCAUGCCGGGGCCCACCAAACUCAAAGUUUCUCUCCAACCCUCUCCUAUUACUAAUCAUUAAUCUCUCUCAAGCUUCUAUCCCAACCCACAGAUGGCGCUUCUACAUCCAAGCGACAUGGCAACAGGAUGGCACCAUCCGCUCUCAGUCUAUGGGCCAAGGCGAUUGGCCUUUCACUGGCUGUAAUCGAGCCCUUAAUGUUACUGGAUUCAACUGGGCCACCUCCUCCCACUUAUGUUCAGCAAUGCUAUGCUUCAUAGCAGAUCAAACUGAGGAAUCCUGUUGAAGCCAUAUCACCAGGAGGCUGCCCCACCUGCUGAUGACAAGACUACCCCAGAGGAGCCUUAAGAGUCACCUCCUAGACCUCCCCUUUACUCCUACUCUCCACUUCCUAACUAUCCUCUAAAGCUUCGCCUGUCUCGUGUAACCGCCCAUACUCCACCAUGACUCCCACUCUUUUAAGUGGUAUUUUUAUAGUCAUCACCCUUCUCCAGGGGACAUCAUCGUCCUCCUCUUAUACUUGGAGAUUCAAAGUCAGAGAGACAUAUGUCCAAGGCAACACUCGUUACACUCACCUAGUUUCUUCGGUUGAUUGCGCCCCUACGGGAUGUAAUGCAUCUAUCUUCCUUUCCCUCUCCUCCCAGAAUUCUGAACUUUUAAAAAAAGCAGCUAGGCCUUACCUUUGCUUCUUAUAUGAUCAGACAGAGGAUUACUGCAAAUAGUGGCCCGAAACUUAUGGAGGAUGCCCCUACUGGUCAUGUAACGUUCAUAACCCACGUGCAUGCAUCAGGGAUUCCUGUGUUGGAAAUUUCAGAUUGAUCUCAGGGGGCUAUCAAUUGGCUAUCACUGAACCUAACCAUCCAUGCUGGACUUCUAGGGUAAAUGCUGCCUUCUACUGUGACAUAUCCUCUCCCACCCCCUGUGGCUCCAUCUCCAUCUCCCGAGAGCUUCAACCCUCCCAGCCCUCAGUAGCUAAUCUCUAAUGACAUAAAGCAUUCCGAAUAGCAGUUGUUAGAAUCCAUACAGGAUCCAUAUGAGCCUAAUGUCAGGAGUCCACUACAGUAUUCAUGGCUAUGACUACUCACUGAAACUGUAACCUUCUUAAAUCUAACCCUCCCCGCCAUCACACCAACUGAUUGAUACUUAUGCGCCUCUCUGACUCAACCUUUGCUUGGUUCCCUUGAAUUUCUCGGCUUCUGACCUCUCAAAUUUCUCCACUCCAUCUGCCCGCCAUUCUCUCCAAACCCUUUCACCCGACGCUCCAUUAUGGGAGCCCGAGGAGUCUAAUCAUACUGUGAUUCCCUGGCGCUGCCUCCUGGGCUUGGGUGUCUCCCAGUCAAAGUUUGGCCACUCUAACAUCACCUUUAACUCCACCCUCUAUGCACCACCUGGCUCAUUCUUCUGGUGUAAUGGUUCUCUUUCACUAUCUUAUUCACCAACACAUCUACCCCAUGUAUACUGGUGACGCUUGUCCUGCAAUUGACUCUCUAUACCCCAGCUGAAGUGUAGGCCCUCUUGUCUCCCCCAGUGCAGAAUAAGCGGGCUGCUUUCCUUCCAAUACUGGUGGGGGUCUCUCACUGGCUGUAUCUGCAGUGGGAGCCGGAAUUUCUGGUGGAGCUCUAGGACACUCCUUAUGGGCUGUACAGGACUUAAGUUCUAAACUUGAACAAGCGCUCACUUCUAUGGCAGAAUCUCUAGCAUCUUUACAAAGGCAGGUCACAUCCUUGGCUCAAGUUACUCUUCAAAAUUGACGAGCUAUAGACUUAGUCACAGCUGAAAAAGGUGGAACCUGUCUUUUCUUGGGGGAAGAAUGCUGUUACUACAUCAACGAAUCAGGCCUUGUGGAAACUAAUGUAGUCAAGCUCACCGACUUGGCUACCUCUGAAAAAUCCACCAAACCAAAACCCAUUUGCCACCUUCUUUUUAGUUCCAAUCGUGGCUGUUGCCUCUUUUAGGGCCCAUAUGCAUUCUUUUCCUGAUGUGUCUGUUCCUGCCCUGUCUGCUUUGCUUCCUACAGGGCCAAUUAUGGAAGAUCUCUAACCAAAUUUUCAACCAGCCUCUGCUUAGGUACUACCAGCCUCUGAUGACCGAUGAGCCCCCAACAUCUUCAAGAGAACAGCUCACUCAUUGCUGAAGCUCACUACCAGGCACAAUGGAAUGCAAUGGACAUCGGACAGCGGGAGACCACGAGCCCAGAGAACCUCUUAAUCUGCCAUCCUGGAUUCUUGAGCCUUUAUGUCCUUUUAAGCCUCCUCAUGGCCCUUGGCCUCUUCUCUGUCAGUCCCCCGACAUGGAACUUCUGCCAAAAACUGACAUUUGCUUUAAUUUUUGUCUUCAUGCUGUUUUUGUUCGCUCUGAUGUUCUUCAGGUGCUGGUGAUGCCAUGACAAGGCAAUGCUUCCAAUAUUUCCUAGAGUCUCUGUUACAGGACCAGUGGCUGAUACCAACAAUCUCCUCCAUCCAGGACUGGUUUGAUGCCAUUGACGACUUGUGGUUUCAGGGAACUUUCAUAGACUUCACCCCUACGGAAGUAGCUGUCUAUAGCCACUGGGUUUUAUUUCUGGUUGCCAUGAUAUCCCCAGACCUGCCACCCCCCCCCACCCCAACAUUCCUCCACUUCUCCUUCUAGGCACUACGCCGCCCCCGCACAGCUAGAAGCAGCCAGAUCUGACCAACGACGCCCCAGUUCCUAAGAAAACAAAAAGGGAGGAAUGUUGGGUAAACAUAUAAUGGCAGCAGCACCCCAGAGAAAAACCCCAGCAUGGCGUCUAACGACCCUGUUUCUCCUCUUUGUUUCUUUCACUGGUGCGAAACGUUCCCGCCGGCGCCAAUGUUCAAACCCUGCUGGUGGGAAGCCUUAGCCCCAAUUAGAAUUAACUUCUUGGGCUCCGGAACUGACAUAUGGAAGUGCUUGCCAAUAAACGGGUGACCUGUUAUCUACCUCAGCCCCUGCUACCUCUCUUAGACCUAUAUAAACACACAGCCUUUUGUAAUAAAGUGGAAACCUCUUUGGUAA
rnacentral:lncRNA from 1 species